rnacentral:lncRNA from 1 species
GCAGCCUAAAAAAAAAUAUCAGUUCUUCAAUUAGGAUAUUGAUCUUCUUGAAGUGAAGGUCCAUAAGAGAAAUCGCUCUCCUUCCAGUCUGCGGGUGACUAGUGCCGACCACAAGAGAUCAGCAAUCUGCAAGCAAGAGUUGAGGAGGAAAAGGUCACAUAUCAUACAACAGGCUGAACAUGCCCUCCUUUAAGGACUGGCUUUGUAAGGAAGGAGAUGCUUUGCUGCUGACCAUCCGGCAAGACGUGAGGGAAGACCAAAGAGCCUUGGAGCAGGUGUUGAAGAGCUUGUUAGAAGGGCUGCAAAACCUCUUGCUCCCCGAGUGCAGCUGUUUAGGAUAGAAAUCGCAAAGAAAUUAAAUUCAUGGUUUAUAAAAAAAGGGAUUUGACAGCAAAAAUAUAUCCAAUAUAUCCAUAUAUUUUCUCACUGUCCUGGAGGAAAUGGCCUGUCCUGAGACAGCAGUCGAAUCUGGCCCCAGUUGACCCA